AGAUUUUUAUUUUAAACAGAAUAUUUCACUUACAAUGAAAAGGUAAAAAGUCUU
rnacentral:tRNA from 1 species